UACGAAGGGGGCUAGCGUUGCUCGGAAUCACUGGGCGUAAAGGGUGCGUAGGCGGGUCUUUAAGUCAGGGGUGAAAUCCUGGAGCUCAACUCCAGAACUGCCUUUGAUACUGAGGAUCUUGAGUCCGGGAGAGGUGAGUGGAACUGCGAGUGUAGAGGUGAAAUUCGUAGAUAUUCGCAAGAACACCAGUGGCGAAGGCGGCUCACUGGCCCGGUACUGACGCUGAGGUGCGAAAGCGUGGGGAGCAACAGG
rnacentral:rRNA from 1 species